UGGGGCGAUGGAGGCCGGAAGCGGGGCAUUUGGGGGUCAAUGGGGACCGGAAGCGGGGUAUUUGGGGGUCAAUGGGGACCGGAAGCGUGGCCUUUCGGGGCAGUGGGGACCGGAAGUGGGGCUGAGGGAGUCAGGGCACCGGGUGGGGGAAUUUACCCCCAAACUGAGGCCUCUCCUCCCCAUGCCCUGGAAGCAAGGCGGUGCCGUCGCCUGGCGUUGUGGUGCUGAGUUGAGACGAAGGCCACGAGUCAAACUUGGCGCCGAGCCGGUGUCACGUCCAGGCGACGUGUCGUCAGGUUGCCCCCGUAGGGCAGCCACCUCCGAGCAGCAAAACACCGGGACAGCCAGGCUGGGCCGGAGCCCCCAGAACCGGCCAGCUGGCAGCGUGUGCUCUGCACCCUGACUCACAGAUCUCCCCGGCCAGCCCCCGCCACGAAGGGACGACCCCGGGAGAACCUGACAGGUGGCAACAUGCCCUUCCCCCCCCCCGGCAGGGUUCCAUUUACAUUAGAACACGGCAUGAGCUCAGGCCGGGGCACUGGGUCAGAAAGUGGCCUUGGCAUGACAUGCGAGCACCCAGGCAAUGGGAUGGCGUGGGCUGCUGUCUGAAUGGGGCACCAAGAUGAAACACCAUCACCUCGUGGCACAAUGGUGUCACAAGAAACAGCAUCGGAGGGACACCGAGCACCUCACAACACGGGGGCCUCAUGCAACAGCACGCCAUUGAAAUGAAACAGCCAUGCACCAUUACGGCCUCCUGCCACGUCCUGGCUGCGACGCACCGUGUCCAGAUGAAAUACCAGCUCGCCAGUGUCUAGUUGAAUAGUCGAUGCCCCACAACGCUGCUAAACUGUGCCUCGCAAGACGAUGUGACAAUGGCACGUUGCAAUGUUGUGUUGUUAUGCUGACCCCCAGCUGAUGCCCUGCGAUGCAAACUGGCAGCGUAGUGCCAAAGUAUGUCACAUCAAGAACCAGCAUCUCAGGGUCUGAGAUACCAGUGUGUUGGAGUAUUCCAGCCUCAAGGAGAAAUGUGAAGGACUUUAACCUUUAUGACUUCACGAAAUGUCACCAUGUCAUAUCUUGUAACCUGAUGGAUACACUUGAUUCCGACCUGGGAUUGCAGUUCCUGCCAUGAGCAGCUCCUAGGUGCAGCUCCUGCCACCUCAGCCAGGAAGAAAGAUACUCCCAAGCUCAGCACAGCUGGUACCAGCUUGUCUCAGGAAGUUUACCGGUGCAUGCCAUCCCCUUCUUCCCCUCGCAUCCUGAAUUGUUUCUUGGUGUUGCUCCAUGUUGCCUGUCGUGCACCACCCCAGAGGUGGCUGCAUUUCGGAGCUGAGUGAAGCAACGGUGAUCUAGCUGUCUGCUGGAUCCAUUCUUCAAGAUGAAAGAUUCCUUGGAGACCUCAGACCAGCAGCAGGCCUUGGCUCGGCGUAACAGACCGCGUAUCUUGAUGAUCCUUGGUGAACAGAAGGGGACCCACGCUGAUGCUCAGUCCCUUUGGAAUGUCUGAUGGGCCAAUUGGAGUGGUGUUUGCAGCUAAACUGGAGAUGGAUGGAUCGAUCUAGCUAUCCGCAUACGCCCCGUCUGUCUGUCUGUCUACUAGAGCAUUUACCAUCAGGAAAAACUGAACUCCCAAAUGCUCAGUGGAGGCUAAAAUUUCCAUGUAGGUUGAAAAUGUAACCAGUAUUCAUUACCAAUCUCCUUCUGCUUCUGCAUUAAACCGCUGGGGUGGGUGGCUCAGUAGGGGGCG